rnacentral:ncRNA from 1 species
UCUUAUCAAGAGAGAUGGAGGGACAGGCCCGGUGAAAUCUCGGCAACAGCUUUUUAAAAAGUAAUGUGCCAAAUCCUGCAAGUAGUUUCACUUGGAAGAUAAGA